GAUGAAAGCUGGCGGCGUGCCUAAUACAUGCAAGUCGAGCGAAGCGGGGACGGGUGAGUAACACGUGGAUAACAUCCUAUAAGACUGGGAUAACUUCGGGAAAACGGAGAUAAAAAGGAUAAUUCUAGAUGGAUCCGCGCUGCAUUAGCUAGUUGGUAAGUUAAAGGCUUACCAAGGCAACGAUGCAUAGCCGACCUGAGAGGUUGAUCGGCCACACUGGAACUGAGACACGGUCCAGACUCCUACGGGAGGCAGCAGUAGGGAAUCUUCCGCAAUGGGCGAAAGCCUGACGGAGCAACGCCGCUUGAGUGAUGAAGUUCUUCGGAUCGUAAAACUCUGUUAUUAGGGAAGCGGUACCUAAUCAGAAAGCCACGGCUAACUACGUGCCAGCAGCCGCGGUAAUUC
rnacentral:rRNA from 1 species